UGAAACCUAUUUCUCCUUUUUUUUUUCUUCUUCUUCUGCUACUACGAUUCUUCUCUUCGCCCGCGAAGAAACUCUAAAAUUUUGAGAUUUGAGUUUCCUUGAUGUGCUCUACAGGAAAUUUAGGAGGAAAGGCGAUGAGAGGAAAAGAAGAAGAAGGGUUUCAAUUAUUGAUGAAGUUGAUUGUUGACAAAAUCGGUGGUGGUUAGGAACAAGAUCGUUAGGUCAAGUGAUCGCAGAGUCCUCAAUAUCUUCAGGUGAUUUUGGAAAAAGGAAAACUCCAGUUCUGGACCGUGGUCAGAUUAAGCUAAAUGACAAAUCCAUGGUUAAAAGGAGCACGAAAAUUCUGGAAUUCCCCUCAUUACUCAUUCAAGUUGGAAAAUUUGAUCUUUCUCACAGUGAGUGGUGAAGUUAAUACCUUGAAAGUGGUUACUGCCGAAGAAAAUUGUGUUAUUAUGGGAGCUUCAGGUAAAGACUCAAAAAUAUACUGAAAUACGAUCAGAGAUAGUUGGAACUCAAGUUGAUGCUUCUUAGUUGUAACAAGCAGGUUCAGCCGACUAUUAUAGGUUUUGUAUUUGGUGAGCUAUGUGUACACUGGAUCUUCUGAACAAAGAUGCCAUGUUUGAUCAAAUUUAAGGGUUCAAUUAGGAUUUGCUACAACUGAAAUGAGAAAGGGGAGCACUAAGCCACGGUUCAAACUGGUGUAUCAGUUCUCUAAGUAAUAUAUUAUCAUUAUCAUAUCAACUGUGGAUACUUCUUUGUCUUCCAAUUGUACAACAAUAAGCUAAAAGCAUGGACAAGUAAAUCAAUACUACAUUUGGCCGAUGAUUGCCAUGAAGAAUUUAAUAUUUAGGAAUUCGUUUACGACA